rnacentral:lncRNA from 1 species
AGCCUCUCAAGCCCCGAUCCGGAUGCGCAGGGUAGGCUGGGAUCACUAUGAGGCCGGGUCCACCAUGAGCCCGGGUUCAAUGAGAAGAAAUCCAGCCCAGUGAGAUGAUGUGAGAAAGAAUAGCCGGCCCAGUCACUUUGCAACCGGGUCCGCGUGCGUGCCAGGGGUAGGUAAAAAGGACAGGGGAUCUUCUUCCAGAGGGGGCUCUCUUCUCUCUUCUUUCCUCUCCUUCCUGGUCUCCAUUUUUAUUUUCUC